rnacentral:tRNA from 1 species
GCCCGGAUGGUCUAGUGGUAUGAUUCUCGCUUGUAAGUUGGCCUUAUCAACAAAAUACUACCAAUCACUUCGAUACUAAUAAAUCUUCACAGUGGGCUCUAUAGUACCAAUCUGCGAGAGGCCCCGCGUUCGAACCGCGGUUCGGGCC